UCCAGCCCCACCUCCUCACCACUAGGCUUGCCUUUCGUGUUGCCAUGGUAAUCCCUGUGGCUACCCUGGAUACCCAUUGCGGCUCCAGAAUUCUCUGCUUAGGCAGAGCAGCUCUACCCACAGCCUGCUUAGAACACCUCCCCUUUUACCAUCACUGAGGCCAAAGGUUGAGGAGCUAGGGUAUGAUCACCAACACAUGGUCUGCAAAGUCAGAUGCUACUUUUCCCUUAAGGCCAGUACAGGGUCCCAGAGAGCCUGGGGAGAAAGUGGAGAUGCUCUGAGCAUAGAGACAAGCAACAUUCUCUCAGUCCCCAAGCAGAGGUGAAGCUACGCCCUUUCAGUCAGCACCAAGAGCGAAAGUCAGAGCCCCUGUCCUGGGCCAGAGCACCAGCAUGUCAACAGUCUAGCCUGGGGACAGAAGGGAUGCAGGACUUUCCCAAGGCGGGGAGACACCUGACAAAAGGAAGAGUAAAAAGGAAGACAGAAGAGCCAGCUCAGCAAAAAGGUUCUGAAAGAGUGUCAGCUACUGGCAAAUCCAUACAGCUGACAAGAUGCAGGUCAACCUUCUGUCUCAGGACAACUGAUACCCCCUCUCCUGGGAACAGAAGACCCGGCCCACUUGACCACCCUUCCUCAAAUAGCACCACCCUCAACCGCACCCAAGCAAGACAGGCUGGCUCUCCAAACCCAGCCAGGGGACAGCCAUCCUAGUGUUCAGUCAGAAGAAGCCCAGGAGGAAAUAGCCCCAGGAGAUAUUAAAUACCGCCUGGAGCCCCUUCCCAAGGCUCCACUCCAGACGCAACCCCCAAGCUACUCCAACCAGCACAGCAAGCCUCAGUGGCUCCCCUUCAGUACAACCUAUGGAGAAUGUUAUAAGCCCGGGAGGAUACAGCCUGUGACUUACCAUGGGGAGAAACCCUCCCAUUCAGGUGACGACUAUAUGACCACUACUCAUCAGAUUUCCUUGCAGAGCCCUCUUCUUGGUCAGUCCACGUUCCCAGUUCAUAUUCAGGGCAGAAAAAUAGGACCAAUAGUGCGUCCAGGCCACAUGGAGUACACCAGCCAAUACCAGAGUGACUUCCAAGCCUCAGGGUGGAAUCAAGUCCUCAAAACUGACCCAGACAAAAGAAGCCAGGG